GGCGACUUUGCUGAAGGCACCAUUGAACCAGCUUGUUCCAGCAGACACAUAUCAACAAGUAGAGGAAAUAAGGGCGGAGGAUCAGCCAUACUGAUAAAGGACAUCAUAUGUUACUCCAAAGGAUUCAUGUCGCGCCAGUCCAAAGGCUUCGGAGGCUUCCUGCCGCUCCCAUCCUCUUUGCCACUGGGCGAAGGAACUUACAAUUCUCCUCUCUGGAAGCAUAUGUAGCUUCAAGUAGUUGAAGGUAUGUGGAUGCAGAGGAAGAUGAGUAUAUGUUGAAUGUUAAUGUAAUCGUAAUCUAGAGAUUAUUAUCAGCAAAAUGGUACGUUUGCUAUGCUAAAAUUGGUAAAAAAUGGUUUAAUGAUA